rnacentral:misc_RNA from 1 species
GAUGAAGAACGUAGCGAAAUGCGAUAAGUAAUGUGAAUUGCAGAGUUCAGUGAAUCAUCGAAUCUUUGAACGUACAUUGCGCCCGUCAGUAUUCUGACGGGCAUGCCUGUCCGAGCGUCAUUUCAACCCUCAAGCACUGCUUGGCGUUGGCGGAUUGCGUGCCCUCGCGGCGCUGCAACCGCCCAAAUACAGUGGCGGUCCCGCUGCGGCUCCCUUUGCGUAGUAACUCACCUCGCACUGGACCGGGCGGCGGCCUGCCGUAAAACCCCAACUCACGAAAUGUUGACCUCGGAUCAGGUAGGAAUACCCGCUGAACUUAAGCAUAUCAAUAAGCGGAGGA